rnacentral:rRNA from 1 species
CCCUAGUAACUGCGAGUGAAGCGGGAAAAGCUCAAAUUUAAAAUCUGGCGGUCUUUGACUGUCCGAGUUGUAAUCUAGAGAAGUGUUAUCCGCGCUGGACCGUGUACAAGUCUCCUGGAAUGGAGCGUCAUAGAGGGUGAGAAUCCCGUCUUUGACACGGACUGCCAGGGCUUUGUGAUGCGCUCUCAAAGAGUCGAGUUGUUUGGGAAUGCAGCUCAAAAUGGGUGGUAAAUUCCAUCUAAAGCUAAAUAUUGGCGAGAGACCGAUAGCGAACAAGUACCGUGAGGGAAAGAUGAAAAGAACUUUGGAAAGAGAGUUAAACAGUACGUGAAAUUGCUGAAAGGGAAACGCUUGAAGUCAGUCGCGUUGGCCGGGGAUCAACCUUGCUUUUGCUGGGCGUACUUUCCGGUCGACGGGUCAGCAUCAAUUUUGACCGGUGGAUAAAGGCUGAGGGAAUGUGGCUCCUUCGGGAGUGUUAUAGCCCUUGGUCGCAUACAUCGAUUGGGAUUGAGGAACUCAGCACGCCGAAAGGCCGGGUACUUGUACCACGUUCGUGCUUAGGAUGCUGGCAUAAUGGCUUUAAUCGACCCGUCUUGAAACACGGACCAAGGAGUCUAACAUGCCUGCGAGUGUUUGGGUGGAAAACCCGAGCGCGUAAUGAAAGUGAAAGUUGAGAUCCCUGUCGCGGGGAGCAUCGACGCCCGGACCAGACCUUUUGUGACGGAUCCGCGGUAGAGCAUGUAUGUUGGGACCCGAAAGAUGGUGAACUAUGCCUGAAUAGGGUGAAGCCAGAGGAAACUCUGGUGGAGGCUCGUAGCGAUUCUGACGUGCAAAUCGAUCGUCAAAUUUGGGUAUAGGGGCGAA